GCAGGUCAAUGAUUUUAUUCACAUCCCAUGGAGACGAAAACCAAAUUCAUCAUGGUGUAAUUGUGAUGAUCCAAAUGAGUACUUCAGGAUAUGAGGGGUAUAGCUCAGGACCACGUCCCUAGCAGCCACCACGCUGCUGAUGUCAUUGGAGAGGUCGCCGUUGUAGUCGUGCUGCUUGGCCAUGGACAACCUCAAGCACGAGGUGACCAGGAUGGACACACUCGCGCACAUCACCUUCAAGUAUGGAGUUGAGAUAAUUCUAAUCCCUACACCCAUGAUGUUGUUGUCUGGUUGCUGCAUCAUUUUAUUGCUCAAUGCAAGGAACUAUGUAUGGAAUACCAAUUGUUCAGUCCAGCUGUCAGAAAUUAUGAUAUGGAGUGUCUCUUAA